rnacentral:rRNA from 1 species
UACGGGGGGGGGCAAGCGUUGUUCGGAAUUACUGGGCGUAAAGGGCUCGUAGGUGGCCAACUCAGUCGGACGUGAAAUCCCUCGGCUUAACCGGGGAACUGCGUCCGAUACUGGAUGGCUUGAGAUCGGGAGAGGGAUGCGGAAUUCCAGGUGUAGCGGUGAAAUGCGUAGAUAUCUGGAGGAACACCGGUGGCGAAGGCGGCAUCCUGGACCGACACUGACACUGAGGAGCGAAAGCCAGGGGAGCAAACGGG